rnacentral:lncRNA from 10 species
UUCCACACUGUGGUGGCUUUGUUCUUUCGCUCUUUGCAAUAAAUCUUGCAGCUGCUUACUCUUUGGGUCCACACUGCCUUUAUGAGCUGUAACACCCACCACGAAGGUCUGCAGCUUCACUCCUGAAGCCAGUGACACCACGAACCCACAGGGAGGAACGGACAACUCCAGACGCGCCACCUUAAAAGCUGUAACACACACCGCGAAGGUCCGCAGCUUCACUCCUGAGCCAGCGAGACCACGAACCCACCAGAAGGAAGAAACUCCGAACACAUCCGAACAUCAGAAGGAACAAACUCCAGACAUGCGGACGUGCUGCCUUUAAGAACUGUAACACUCACCGCGGGGGUCCGUGGCUUCAUUCUUCAAGUCAGUGAGACCAAGAACCCACCAAUUCCGGACACAAUAUGACCUAAUUUGGACCUUAAAAUAUUAUUUUAUUUAAAGUAUGGCUUCGAUGAGGAUAAGAAUGGAUAUGGAGAGAUAAUUUAGGAGGAUGGAUUGUCUGGGAGAGAGGUAAUAGUGGGUCAGCUUAGUGGAAGGCAGGAGAUAAUGAAAACAAUGAUGCACGUGAGACAUUUGGAGGUGGAAAUAGCAGAACUUGCCAACUGUUUGGCUAUGUGGGCCAGGAAGAAUUAUGUAUCAAGGAUGUCCUCCAGGAGUAAUUAAAAUAUGGGACUACAGAAAGGAAGCUGGUGGGUAGUGGUGAUCAUAGGAGCUUGUUAGUUAAUCAGUUUAAGAUGUCAUGAAACAUUUAAUUUGAGAUGUUAACUAAAGACUGCUGUUAGCUUUUGGCAACGUGGAGGCCCUAAAGAAGAGCAUCUUCACCUGACAAGUGGGAUCAACAGUAGACUGCAGUGGGUUGAGGCACAAGUGAGAGAUAUGAGGUUGGGGGCAACAUUUAUUGGACUGACAACUUUUUCCAACAUGGAGCUGUGAAGGAAGUCACUGGCUCCAUCACUGAGUGGUUCUUUGGUCCCAGCUGCAGGUUGAUUGAUGGCAUCACAUCGAAGAACACUCUGGGGGGAGCUGUUUAUCCCCAUCUUCCAUCUGGAGCUGCUGGGAUAGAGUUCACUGUGAUGAUGGCUACUGAAUGAGCUGCACUGGCAGGACCUCUGUGACAAGGAAGGAUUGCGGCUAGGGAGCCAGGCCCGAAUCAAAGGAUGUCAAGGAAAUGAAUGGAGCUAAGCAGGAAACAGCCAACUCUUCUCAAACAUGAUGGGGCAGCAAUUCAAAAAGAAAGAUGGUGCACAGCUUUUAAAACUACAAAAUGGGAGAAUAUUAUGUUCCUUUGUUCUUUCACUUACAGAGGUUACUUUAUAGAUAUGUGUUUCAGAUCAAAUAAACAUGCUGCUAACAAC